rnacentral:rRNA from 1 species
UAGGGAAUCUUCCACAAUGGGCGCAAGCCUGAUGGAGCAACACCGCGUGAGUGAAGAAGGGUUUCGGCUCGUAAAGCUCUGUUGUUAAAGAAGAACACGUAUGAGAGUAACUGUUCAUACGUUGACGGUAUUUAACCAGAAAGUCACGGCUAACUACGUGCCAGCAGCCGCGGUAAUACGUAGGUGGCAAGCGUUAUCCGGAUUUAUUGGGCGUAAAGAGAGUGCAGGCGGUUUUCUAAGUCUGAUGUGAAAGCCUUCGGCUUAACCGGAGAAGUGCAUCGGAAACUGGAUAACUUGAGUGCAGAAGAGGGUAGUGGAACUCCAUGUGUAGCGGUGGAAUGCGUAGAUAUAUGGAGGAACACCGGUGGCGAAAGCGGCUCUCUGGUCUGUAACUGACGCUGAGGCUCGAAAGCGUGGGGAGCGAACAGGAUUAGAUACCCUGGUAGUCCACGCCGUAAACGAUGAGUGCUAGGUGUUGGAUCCUUUCCGGGAUUCAGUGCCGCAGCUAACGCAUUAAGCACUCCGCCUGGGGAGUACGACCGCAAGGUUG